rnacentral:snRNA from 2 species
AUACUUACCUGGACGGGGUCAAUGGGAGAUCAAUAAGACCCAUGGCCUAGGUUUGUGACCUUCAUUGCACUUUGGAGGGGUGCCUACCUAAGGUCGGUCCAAGUGGUCGAGCCUACGUCAUAAUUUGUUGCAGCGGGGGCCUGCGUUCGCGCAGCCCCUAC